AUUGAACACUGGCGGCAUGCCUUACACAUGCAAGUCGAACGGCAGCACGGGAGCAAUCCUGGUGGCGAGUGGCGAACGGGUGAGUAAUAUAUCGGAACGUGCCCAGUCGUGGGGGAUAACGUAGCGAAAGCUACGCUAAUACCGCAUACGAUCUACGGAUGAAAGCGGGGGAUCGCAAGACCUCGCGCGAUUGGAGCGGCCGAUAUCAGAUUAGGUAGUUGGUGAGGUAAAGGCUCACCAAGCCGACGAUCUGUAGCUGGUCUGAGAGGACGACCAGCCACACUGGGACUGAGGCACGGCCCAGACUCCUACGGGAGGCAGCAGUGGGGAAUUUUGGACAAUGGGCGCAAGCCUGAUCCAGCAAUGCCGCGUGCAGGAUGAAGGCCUUCGGGUUGUAAACUGCUUUAGUACGGAACGAAACGGCGAGCUCUAAUACAGUUUGCUAAUGACGGUACCGUAAGAAUAAGCACCGGCUAACUACGUGCCAGCCGCCGCCGUAA
rnacentral:rRNA from 1 species